GUUGCCGGACGAAAGGGGGUGAGCGGUCCCGGCAACGGGGCGGGCGUAAAUGCUUUCACACAGAAUGGUAUCCGUCAAACUAAGCAGCCAUUCAUAUCUAACCGACUAGGGGGA
rnacentral:sRNA from 22 species